rnacentral:rRNA from 1 species
UAAGUAAGUGGAGGAAGUCAAACCAAAAUGGGUUCCUCCAGUAACAGCGAGUGAAGAUGGAAUAGGUCAACUUGGAAUUUGGGGGGGUUGCCCCUCUGAAAUGCAUGUCUGAAUGUGCUGCCAAUGGAGGCGCAAAUGUGAGCCUUUUCUGGAAAAAAAACAGAACUAGCCAGCUUCAAUAAGGGUGAAAAUCCCAGUGGGCACUUGCGGACCUUUGUUUACGGUGUAGAUUUGCAGAAUCACGCUCCUUGGAACUGGAGUGCAAAGUGGGAGGUAAAUCUCAUGCAAAGGUGAAUACAUCUUUGGGACUGAUAGAGGAAAAGUACCGCGAGGGAACUAUGAAAAGGACUUUGAAAAGAGAAUUAAAGAGAGCCUGCGCUUGCUGCAUGAAAAGCAUACAGAACAGCAAAAGGUUUUGAAAGAUUGCUGCAUGGUUUUGUGAACGACCCAUGCCCUUGUGAAGAUGGAGCUGUUGUGGUCUGCAUGUGUGUUGUGUGUGGAGGUUCUUUCUUUACGUGCCAGUUCCAGUUGCCAGAGAUAAAUCCUGGAUGUAUUGUGAUGUGUGCCCCUUGGUUUGUCAUUGUGCGUACGUGAUGAUGUGUAAAUUGUGGAGGAGCUGGAUCCUGGUGGAGUUGCUGAAGGCUGCCCACGCCCUUGUUGGAGGACUCUGCAGAAAUCCUGGUCCAACCCUCUGACUAGCCACUUCUGUGUGACCCGUCUUGAAACACGGACCAAGGAGUCUAACAAGUUUGCAAGUUGAUGAGUGUGCAGAUUGAAUGUUGAAUGAAAGUGUCAGCCCAGAUUUGUGCAUGUGCGUUCAACCAAUCGCUUGAGCAUGGUUUGAGUCUAAGCAUCUGUGUUAGGACCCGAAAGAUGGUGAACUAUGCCUGAAUAGGGCCAAGUCAGGGGAAACUCUGAUGGAGGCUUGCAGUGGUACUGACGUGCAAAUCGUUCGU